rnacentral:rRNA from 1 species
UCGAACGGGGGCGUGAUGUGCGAGAGGGAUAGUUUACUAGACUUCAAACUUUUCACGCCCUAGUGGCGGACGGGUGAGUAACGCGUGGGUAACCUGCCAUAUACAGGGGGAUAACACUUAGAAAUAGGUGCUAAUACCGCAUAAGCGCACAGGGGCGCAUGCCCCGGUGUGAAAAACUCCGGUGGUAUAUGAUGGACCCGCGUCUGAUUAGCCAGUUGGCAGGGUAACGGCCUACCAAAGCGACGAUCAGUAGCCGGCCUGAGAGGGCGGACGGCCACAUUGGGACUGAGACACGGCCCAAACUCCUACGGGAGGCAGCAGUGGGGGAUAUUGCACAAUGGGGGAAACCCUGAUGCAGCGACGCCGCGUGAGUGAAGAAGUAUUUCGGUAUGUAAAGCUCUAUCAGCAGGGAAGAAAAUGACAGUACCUGACCAAGAAGCCCCGGCUAACUACGUGCCAGCAGCCGCGGUAAUACGUAGGGGGCAAGCGUUAUCCGGAUUUACUGGGUGUAAAGGGAGCGUAGACGGUUAUGUAAGUCUGGAGUGAAAGCCCGGGGCCCAACCCCGGGACUGCUUUGGAAACUGUGUAACUGGAGUACAGGAGGGGCAGGCGGAAUUCCUGGUGUAGCGGCGAAAUGCGUAGAUAUCAGGAGGAACACCGGCGGCGAAGGCGGCCUGCUGGACUGAAACUGACGUUGAGGCUCGAAAGCGUGGGGAGCAAACAGGAUUAGAUACCCUGGUA